AUCCUGGAUAGGUCAGUUGGUUAGAGUGUGGUGCUGAUAAUGCCAAGGUCACAGAUCAGAUCCCUGUAUAGGACA